UCUUUCUCUUCGGCUUGGGUGCUGCAACCAUGGUGGCAAGGGGCAGCGCCCCUUAUCUUUCUCUCGAACCCCUUAUGCACAGCCCGACCCAGCUUUUGGCCGUCAUCGUGCUACCAUCACUAGUUACUAUUAACCCUAUCCCCCUCUUCUCCCCUUUGUUCCCCCUUAGGAAUCCUCCAUGGAAUCCAUGAUUCGGCAGAGAAGAAAGAAAAGAAGAAAGAAAAAGAGCAAGAAAUAGAGGAGAAAG
rnacentral:lncRNA from 1 species